UACGUAGGUGACAAGCGUUGUCCGGAUUUACUGGGCGUAAAGGGUGCGUAGGUGGCGUCGUAAGUCGGGUGUGAAAUCUCGGGGCUUAACUCCGAAACUGCAUUCGAUACUGCGGUGCUUGAGGACUGGAGAGGAGACUGGAAUUCACGGUGUAGCAGUGAAAUGCGUAGAGAUCGUGAGGAAGACCAGUGGCGAAGGCGGGUCUCUGGACAGUUCCUGACACUGAGGCACGAAGGCCAGGGGAGCAAACAGG
rnacentral:rRNA from 1 species